rnacentral:pre_miRNA from 1 species
AUCUGUGUUUGUAUGUGUCGGUGUGUGUAUCUGUGUGUCAGUGUGUAUGAAUCUGACACACAGAUACACACACUGGCACAGUGGCACACAGAUACACAGACCUUGACAUACAGUGUGUA